GACGCCCUGUCCGACUCGAUAGCGCGUGAAACGCGCGAGAGCAGCGUUCCUUAACCAGCCGCUCGCAGCCCGUCGGGUACCGUCACCUCUUCGCCAGGCGGUGUGCUUCUGGAGCCCAGAAGCGGUCCCGCGCGGUGGUCGAGGCCCGGCCGUUCUAGGAGAGGCCCCCUCUGAAGCGUUGUUCUGGUAUCGUCACACCUUCUCUCACACACGGACGCUAUUAGUCGUUUCGCUGCGAGUACCUGCGUACUCGCCACACGCCCCGAGAACAAUCCCGCAACGUGCAGGGGACGGUAGCCUGCAGCGGGCUGUCCGACACCCGCCUGCUCUUUGGGGGUUGUUCCGUCCAUCGCUACUACUUACUUCAAAGGCUGACAGUUUAAGUGAACCCUCAAAUAAAUUUUCUUAAACAG